UUAAGUAUGCCAGAGGGACAAACAUAACACUUUGAUUUAUUUAGAAGACAUUUAAUAAUGAUACAAAUUUUAGAAAGAGCUUUUUAGCACUCCCUAAGUACUAAAAUCUCUAUAAUUGUGUUUAGGAGAGCAUGAGCUUUGUAGAUUAUAAAUUGAACAAAUCAUGUUCUAUUUUUUAAGUUGCAUAAAAGUAAAAAAUAUGAUUCCGACUCUAAAGUUUAUGUAUGUUAUAAUUGUAUUAUUUCUUCUAUCUUUUACAACAAUGAACAUAAAUGCAAUUGGUGAUUGUAAUGAUGAUGGAGAUUGCCCAAUAAAUAUGUGCUUGUUUCAUUUUCUUGUGAGGUGUUUUAAUAAUGAUUGUGAAUGUGUUCAUAUGACGCCACUAGUUCUUUAUUGAGUACCAGAACCAAGAGAGAAGACAAGUGACAUGAAUGAAAGAAUGUAACCUAAUAUAUAGUAUAUGUUCCUCUAGAAUGGUAUAUAAAAAGUCAUUUAGUUAUUGUGCUGGAACAUAAUAUGUAAUUGGAUUUUUUUCCUUUUCCAUAUUUCCUAGAUCAUAUAAUUAUGACUUUUUACUCUUAACUAUUGUAAUAAAUUAAAUAAGACAAUUUAUGAUACAAAUACGCCAAUUUGGGAGAAA